GAUGAACGCUGGCGGCGUGCCUAAUACAUGCAAGUCGAGCGAACGGACGAGAAGCUUGCUUCUCUGAUGUUAGCGGCGGACGGGUGAGUAACACGUGGAUAACCUACCUAUAAGACUGGGAUAACUUCGGGAAACCGGAGCUAAUACCGGAUGAUAUUUUGAACCGCAUGGUUCAAAAGUGAAAGACGGUCUUGCUGUCACUUAUAGAUGGAUCCGCGCUGCAUUAGCUAGUUGGUAAGGUAAAGGCUUACCAAGGCAACGAUGCAUAGCCGACCUGAGAGGGUGAUCGGACACACUGGAACUGAGACACGGUCCAGAAUCCUACGGGAGGCAGCAGUAGGGAAUCUUCCGCAAUGGGAGAAAGAAUGACGGAGCAAAGCCGCGUGAGUGAUGAAGGUCUUCGGAUCGUAAAACUCUGUUAUUAGGGAAGAACAUAUGUGUAAGUAACUGUGCACAGAUGGACGGUACCUAAUCAGAAAGCCACGGCUAACUACGUG
rnacentral:rRNA from 1 species